rnacentral:misc_RNA from 1 species
AAAGUCGUAACAAGGUUUCCGUAGGUGAACCUGCGGAAGGAUCAUUACAAAUCAUUAUGCUGACGCCUCGGUUGAGGGGUCUAGCACAUGUGCCCGGACUGCUAUCCUCUCUCAUGAUGAUGAUGAUAGCAGUCUGUGACAUAUAUUUACGCUUGUUGUGUUUGACAGAGUUUAUAUUAUUACACAUAUAAAAAUAGACAACUUUUAACAAUGGAUCUCUUGGCUCUU